rnacentral:sRNA from 1 species
UUACGUUACAUUUUCAUCUGUGUUGCC